rnacentral:lncRNA from 1 species
UGCAGAUCAUGGAUGCCUCCCAGUUGGAGAUUUGGGGAUUCCUUCCAUUUUCUCACACUAGCAAGGCCUUGGCUUAUCCAGGCAGGGGCCAAGCAGAUGCCCAUGCAUGGCAAACGGAACUAGAAGCUGGCUCACUUAGCUCAUGGCUUCCCCCAUAAUCAGCAAUGUAGCAGCCUCCUCGUAUCUCCCCGGUGCUCACUUCCAGCUUCUCUCUUCCAUCUUGUAAGGACCCUAUGAUCACACCAUGUAUCUGUGCAACCCAAAGUCAUCUCCUCAUCUCUAGCUCUUUAGCAAAUCACAUUUGCAAAGUGCCAUUUGCCAUUUGAUGAGAAGUUCCCAGGCAUCUCUGGAACAUGGGUAUCUCUGAGGUCGCUAUCCUGCUACCACAAUUCCUAACCAACCAUGCCUCUACCUCCUCACUUGUAACAUGGGUUUGGUAACAUGGUGUCUACUUCCCAGCGCUAUCACCAUUACAUGACUUAUUACUUCUCAAGGGCUUAUAAUACUAUCGCCACAUGGUAAAAACUCAAAGCUAUGCCUAGUUCUAAAUGCCUAUCUG